rnacentral:misc_RNA from 1 species
GAUGAAGAACGUAGCGAAAUGCGAUACUUGGUGUGAAUUGCAGAAUCCCGUGAACCAUCGAGUCUUUGAACGCAAGUUGCGCCUCAAGCCAUUAGGUUGAGGGCACGUCUGCCUGGGCGUCACAUAUCGUUGCCUGAUGCCAGUUUCCUCGUGAUGGGUGACUGUGCAGGGCGAAUGAUGGCUUCCCGUGAGCAUUGUUGCCUCAUGGUUGGUUGAAAAUUGAGUCCUUGGUAGGGAGCGCCGUGAUAGAUGGUGGUUGAGUGACGAACGAGACCCAAUCAUGUGAGACCCCUACCGAAUUUGGCCUUCAUGACCCACAUGCGUCUCUGGAACGCUCAUGACGAGACCUCAGGUCAGGCGGGGCUACCCGCUGAGUUUAAGCAUAUCAAUAAGCGGAGGA